rnacentral:rRNA from 1 species
GAUGAACGCUGGCGGCGUGCCUAACACAUGCAAGUCGAACGGACGGACGAUGAGCUUGCUUUUUUCACGUUAGCGGCGCGGGCGUGUGUAACAUGUGUAUAACCCACCUAUAUGACGGGUGAAACUUCGUGAAACCGGAACUUAUACCCGAUAAUCUUUUGAACCCCAUUGUUCAUAAGUUAAAUACGGCCUUCCUGUCACUUAUCGCUGAUUCCGGUCUGCAUUAGCUAGUUGGUCAGGUAACGGCUUACCAAGGCAACGAUGCAUAGCCGAUCUGAGAGGGUGAUCGGCCACCCUGGAACUGAGACACGGUCCAGACUCCUACGGGAGGCAGCAGUAGGGAAUAUUACGCAAUGGGCGAAAGCAUGACGGAGCAACGCCGCGUGUGUGAUGAAGGCCUUCGGAUCGUAAAGCUCUGUUAGUGGGGAAGAACAUAUUUGUAAUUAAACGUGCACAUAUUGACGGUACCUGAAGAAGAAGCACCGGCUAACUACGUG